CACCGUUGUGCCCUUGAAGCGGUUGGUUUGCGGUGAGCUCCACAGCGCAAAACGUGAUCUAAAUUGAGACACAGAUUUUGCCCGGAGUUUCUGAGGAGAAGCAGCAGUAACCUGUGUCAGCUUCACCAAAACCCAUGCAGUCCCAGCUAAGGCUUCUGCUGCCAUCUGCAGAUCCAGGACCUUAGGGGUCCAUUGCGUGUACGAUGUUCUCACCCAGAUUCUUGAGCACUGCGACAGCAUUAUCCCACUAGUGUGGCAACACGGACAUUUCUGUAUCUAGCUGGGGCCCAGAAACCUGAGAAGGUAGUAAUUCCAUUCCUCCACUG
rnacentral:lncRNA from 1 species